rnacentral:tRNA from 13 species
AGGCGCCCUGGUCGGCAGCGCGGCCUUCAAAUCCAUCCAGGACGCUGUC